rnacentral:rRNA from 1 species
GUAGGUGGCAAGCGUUGUCCGGAAUUAUUGGGCGUAAAGCGCGCGCAGGCGGUUCUUUAAGUCUGGUGUGAAAGCCCACGGCUCAACCGUGGAGGGUCAUUGGAAACUGGAGAACUUGAGUACAGAAGAGGAAAGCGGAAUUCCACGUGUAGCGGUGAAAUGCGUAGAGAUGUGGAGGAACACCAGUGGCGAAGGCGGCUUUCUGGUCUGUAACUGACGCUGAGGCGCGAAAGCGUGGGGAGCAAACAGGGAUUAGAUACCCUGGUAGUCCACGCCGUAAACGAUGAGUGCUAAGUGUUAGGGGGUUUCCGCCCCCUUAGUGCUGCAGCUAACGCAUUAAGCACUCCGCCUGGGGAUACGGCCGCAAGGCUG